rnacentral:rRNA from 1 species
UACGAAGGGUGCAAGCGUUAAUCGGAAUUACUGGGCGUAAAGCGUGCGUAGGCGGUUGUUUAAGUCUGCUGUGAAAUCCCCGGGCUCAACCUGGGAAUGGCAGUGGAUACUGGACGGCUAGAGUGUGAUAGAGGAUGGUGGAAUUCCCGGUGUAGCGGUGAAAUGCGUAGAGAUCGGGAGGAACAUCAGUGGCGAAGGCGGCCAUCUGGAUCAACACUGACGCUGAGGCACGAAAGCGUGGGGAGCAAACAGG